GACGAACGCUGGCGGCGUGCUUAACACAUGCAAGUCGAACGGAAAGGCCCUGCUUUUGUGGGGUGCUCGAGUGGCGAACGGGUGAGUAACACGUGAGUAACCUGCCCUUGACUUUGGGAUAACUUCAGGAAACUGGGGCUAAUACCGGAUAGGAGCUCCUGCUGCAUGGUGGGGGAUGGAAAGUGUCGGCGGUUGGGGAUGGACUCGCGGCUUAUCAGCUUGUUGGUGGGGUAGUGGCUUACCAAGGCUUUGACGGGUAGCCGGCCUGAGAGGGUGACCGGCCACAUUGCGACUGCGAUACGGCCCAGACUCCUACGGGCGGCAGCAGUGGGGAAUAUUGCACAAUGGGCGGAAGCCUGAUGCAGCAACGCCGCGUUCGGGAUGACGGCCUUCGGGUUGUAAACCGCUUUCGCCUGUGACGAAGCGUGAGUGACGGUAAUGGGUAAAGAAGCACCGGCUAACUACGUG
rnacentral:rRNA from 1 species